GCAACACGUUGACCGCGAACGCAACAUCUUGACCGUGAACGCAACACCUUGACCGUGAACGCAACACGUUGACGGUUAAUUGCGGUUAACUGACAGUUGGAGGGGAGCCAAAUUCAAAAUGUCCGACUGGGAAGAGGAGUACGAUGAAAACGGUGUUGCCAUCGACAUUCCCGCUCCAAAACCAUCAGCUCCGACUAAUUACGAUGAAGAUCGCUCAAGAGAAAAUGUAUUUUUCGGCGUGAGAAGAGGAGCCAGGUUUGCAGCCCCGAGAGAGAGCAGAGAGGGAUCCGAGUUCAAGCCCCGCAGAGGCGGCGGCGGCGGCGAAAGUUACCGGAGCACACGACGGACGAACUUUGGCGAGGAAAGGUCAAACUGUUCCCAGCCUGUGAUAGUUACCGUGGAAAACGCUUCAGUUGGGAGGAUAAUAGGUCGUGGAGGAGCCAAAGUUCGUGAACUCGAAGAGAGCACAGGUGCACGGAUCAAGGUAAACAGAGGGGACUAUGAAGGUGAGGUGGUCAUCUUUGGGCCCCCUGCUGCCCAGCAGAAGGCCAAGGAGAUGAUCGAAGACCUGGUGGCGGAUGGAAACUCUCGAUUUCCCGCUGGUGUGCGAAAGGGCGGAGACUAUGAAGGCGGAGACUAUGGAAGAAGAAGUGAUGAAGGUGUAAGGAAUGACUCUGUCUGGUCUGCAGCACAGUUACAGGCUGCGAAGGUCAUCCCGGCCCACGUACCCAUAGACUGGAACGCCAUCCGGGAGAACAAGGAUAAGUAUGAGGAGCUCAAGUGGAAGGACCUCCCACCCAUGAAGAAGAAGUUUUACACUGAGGCAGAGAGUGUAUCCAUGCUGACAGCAGAGGAAGUCAUUGAAUGGAGGAAGGAAAAUAACAGCAUCUUUGUGGACGACCUGAAGGAGGAGGGAGAGAAACGUCCUAUUCCCAACCCCUGUCGCACCUUUCUGGAGGCCUUUGAGCGUUAUCCAGAGAUCAUGGAGAACAUUGAACGAGUCGGCUUCGUCAAACCAACCCCCAUCCAGUCUCAGGCAUGGCCAGUGUUGCUGAGCGGGGAGGACCUGAUAGCCAUCGCUCAGACAGGAACAGGCAAAACUCUGGCCUACCUGCUGCCAGGGUUCAUCCACAUGGAUGGACAGCCUGUACCUCGAGCUGAGCAGGGUGGUCCAGGCAUGUUGGUGCUGACUCCCACCAGAGAGCUGGCCCUGCAGAUUGAAAUGGAGUGCAAAAAGUACCGCUACAAAAACUACAAAAGUCUUUGUAUCUAUGGCGGAGGCGAUAGGAGAGGCCAGAUCAACUUUGUGAAGGGCGGAGUGGACAUAGUGAUCGCUACACCAGGCCGACUAAAUGAUCUACAGAUGAAUGACCUCAUCAGCCUCAGCUCCAUCACCUAUUUGGUGCUGGACGAAGCUGACCGUAUGCUAGACAUGGGCUUUGAGCCACAGAUAAAGAAGAUUCUCUUGGACAUCCGCCCAGACCGACAGAAUGUCAUGACCAGUGCCACUUGGCCCACUGGUGUCAGACGACUGGCCAGCUCCUACUUAAAGAAUCCCAUGAUGGUCUACGUGGGCAGUCUGGACUUGGCUGCGGUUAACACAGUGAAUCAAACAGUGCUGGUUGUCAGUGAAGAGGAGAAGAAGUCCUACUUGUUUAACUUCAUCCGAAACAUGCAGCCCGAGGAUAAAGUCCUUAUCUUUGUUGGGAGGAAGCUUAUGGCUGAUGACCUGUCCAGUGACAUGUGUCUGCAUGGUCUGGCUGUGCAAAGUCUCCAUGGUGACCAUGAGCAGUCUGACCGUGAACAAGCCCUCGAGGACUUUAAAAGGAGUCGGGUUCGUAUCCUGGUCGCCACAGACUUGGCAUCUCGAGGGUUAGAUGUCCAUGACAUAACUCAUGUCUUCAAUUAUGACUUCCCACGUAACAUAGAAGAGUAUGUCCAUCGUGUGGGCCGCACCGGCCGAGCAGGACGUUCAGGUGCUGCUGUUACCCUGGUAACCAGAGAUAACUGGAGGAUGGCCCCCGAGCUCAUUUCCAUUCUGGAGAGAGCAGGACAGGAGGUCCCUCAGGAUCUGGUGCUUAUGGCAGAGAGAUAUGAGAAGCACAAGCAGGAUAAGGCGAUGUGCGAUCCAAGAGGAGGACCGGGACGAGGAGGAGGCAGACGAGAAGGAGGGGGAGGAGGAGGAGGAUGGGGGAGGAGAGAUGGUGGAGGCAGGGAUCGAGGCCAAAACUGGGGAUUCUUCUAACGCAUGAUUGUCAAUGCGAGUCCACGUAUAAGACAAGGUUACCUACACACGUCUACAAAAGGUUGGAGCAGGAUCUAUAACCUCCUGUGUUGUAAUUACUUUUGAAUGUAAAUUUCAUAUUUUUCUUUGAUUUUUUUUGUUUGUUUGUUUGUUUUUUUACUGUUUUGUAUUUAUUUACUUUGAUUGAAACGUCUUGUAUUUGUUGUCUGCUGGAUUAUCGUUCAUAGGAGAAGAUGCACCUCGUUAUGUUGGAGUCCUGUUUUAAAAAAAAAAAUAUUUAGUGCACCAUUCUGACAGUUUUCUUUCUGUCUGUAACUCACCAACCACAGCAGUGCUUCGUAUCACAAUAUUUUGUUAUGUAAUUUCUUGAUUAAACAAAAUCUGCAUAAUAAAUUCUUCUUUUAAGGAGACUUGACAACCA